UCGACGAAUAUUUUUACUUGA
ensembl:piRNA 21ur-5689 ncRNA